UACGUAGGGUGCAGGCGUUAAUCGGAAUUACUGGGCGUAAAGCGUGCGCAGGCGGUCUUUUAAGUCAGAUGUGAAAUCCCCGGGCUUAACCUGGGAACUGCGUUUGAAACUGGAAGGCUAGAGUGUGGCAGAGGGGGGUGGAAUUCCACGUGUAGCAGUGAAAUGCGUAGAGAUGUGGAGGAACACCGGUGGCGAAGGCGGCAUCCUGGACCGACACUGACGCUGAGGAGCGAAAGCCAGGGGAGCAAACGGG
rnacentral:rRNA from 1 species